GUGUUAUGACUUAUGUAAUCGGAAUGAAUUUGGAAGAACAGUUCUCAAUUUGAAGCUUAAAAUUUGAAAGGGUUGACCAAGUUUUGACUUAUUAGUAUAUGAUCUCGGAUUGGAAUUUUUUUUAUUUGGUUAGCGCUAUUAGGUAAUUUGGGACUUAGGAGAAUAAUCGGAAUGUACUUUGGAGGUCCGUGGAAGGUUUAGACUUGAAUUGGUGAAAUUGGGAUUUUGGCGUUUUCCGGUUGAUAGGUGAGAUUUUGAUAUAGGGGUCGGAAUGGAAUCCCAGAAGUUGGAGUAGGUCCUUUGUGUUAUUUGUGACGUGUGUGCAAAAUUUCAGGUCAUUCGGAUGAGGUUUGAUAGACUUUUUUAUCGAAUUUGGAAUUCGGAAGUUUUGGAAUUCUUAGGCUUGAAUCCGAGGGUGGUUUGAUGUUUUGAUGUUGUUUUGAGCGUUUCGAAGGUUAGAACAAGUUUGAAUGAUGUCAUGGGAUGUGUUGACAUGUUUGGUUGAGGUUCCGAGGGCCUCGAGUGAGUUUCGGGGUGGUUUCGGGUCAUUUCUAAGCUCUUUUUAGUUGCUGGUUUUUGGCUACAGGGGUAUACAGUGCGUUAGCAUAGAUCUGACCUCGUUAGCGUAGAGAAAAUUUGGAAAAAUAGAGUUGUGCUAUGCUAUCGCGUAAGUCAUCCCACGAUCGCAUAGAGUAAAAUCUCUAUUGCACUGGCCCGACUUUGGAAGCUUAUAUCUCACAAUCUAUAAGGAAUUUGAAGAUGAUUCAAAAACAAAAGUUGUAGCCCUUAAUGUCUAGUUUUCAGAAUCAAUUGUAAUUUGGAGUUUUAUAAAAUAAAAGUUAUAACCAUUAUACUAGAGGCUAUCCGAAAGAGUUGGAGAAAGCUGUUGAAAAAAUUUAUUCUACGCGAUCGCAGGGGAAUGGCCGCGAUCGUAUAGGGUAUAAUAAGGACUGGAAAAUUUUGUACUUCGCUAUCACAUUAGUUUGUCCGCGAUAGCAUAGGAUAAAUACCUGGGCAGAUUAUAAAGUACUCUAUUUCGAAGAUUUCAGCCAUUUUUGCAUUUUUGGAGCUAUGGAGCUCGAAUUUAGGCUAUUUUGAAGGGAUGUUUAGAGGAUUGAUUGGGG
rnacentral:lncRNA from 1 species